CUGAGGACGAACGCUGGCGGCGUGCCUAAUACAUGCAAGUCGAACGCUUCUUUUUCCACCGGAGCUUGCUCCACCGGAAAAAGAGGAGUGGCGAACGGGUGAGUAACACGUGGGUAACCUGCCCAUCAGAAGGGGAUAACACUUGGAAACAGGUGCUAAUACCGUAUAACAAUCGAAACCGCAUGGUUUUGAUUUGAAAGGCGCUUUCGGGUGUCGCUGAUGGAUGGACCCGCGGUGCAUUAGCUAGUUGGUGAGGUAACGGCUCACCAAGGCCACGAUGCAUAGCCGACCUGAGAGGGUGAUCGGCCACAUUGGGACUGAGACACGGCCCAAACUCCUACGGGAGGCAGCAGUAGGGAAUCUUCGGCAAUGGACGAAAGUCUGACCGAGCAACGCCGCGUGAGUGAAGAAGGUCGGAUCGUAAAACUCUGUUGUUAGAGAAGAACAAGGAUGAGAGUAACUGUUCAUCCCUUGACGGUAUCUAACCAGAAAGCCACGGCUAACUACGUGCCAGCAGCCGCGGUAAUACGUAGGUGGCAAGCGUUGUCCGGAUUUAUUGGGCGUAAAGCGAGCGCAGGCGGUUUCUUAAGUCUGAUGUGAAAGCCCCCGGCUCAACCGGGGAGGGUCAUUGGAAACUGGGAGACUUGAGUGCAGAAGAGGAGAGUGGAAUUCCAUGUGUAGCGGUGAAGCGUAGAUAUAUGGAGGAACACCAGUGGCGAAGGCGGCUCUCUGGUCUGUAACUGACGCUGAGGCUCGAAAGCGUGGGGAGCAAACAGGAUUAGAUACCCUGGUAGUCCACGCCGUAAACGAUGAGUGCUAAGUGUUGGAGGGCCGCCCUUCAGUGCUGCAGCUAACGCAUUAAGCACUCCGCCUGGGGAGUACGACCGCAAGGUUGAAACUCAAAGGAAUUGACGGGGGCCCGCACAAGCGGUGGAGCAUGUGGUUUAAUUCGAAGCAACGCGAAGAACCUUACCAGGUCUUGACAUCCUUUGACCACUCUAGAGAUAGAGCUUCCCCUUCGGGGGCAAAGUGACAGGUGGUGCAUG
rnacentral:rRNA from 1 species